AAUUUAUCUGUAAUUCUAGAACUAAAAUACCACAAAUACGAAAGAGGGGGGAAUUUAUAUGGCAAGGUUAACGAUGAAUACUUUUGUUGAAAGAAAAAAAAAAUGUAUCAUGAUGCAUAUGUGAGACUUAUGAUCACAUCUCAACUGUAUCUUGCAUAAUGUGUGGGCUAUCUUCAAACGACUGCCAUGAACCCCCACCACUAUGUUGAAUCUCGGAUUUUGAUGAUGAAACCAAUCGAUAAGUGUUUAUGUUUUAAUCUGCAUUUUGAGUGACGCAGGAUGCUUCGAUCAAGAUGAGACAAUUAAAGCAGGAAGAAUCAUGUUGUGCCGGAGGAAAACAUGUCAGAAGAUUGGACGUCGGACCGGUGGAUCGGUCGACGUAUCGACAAAAGGCUUCGGGCCGUGGAUUCGGGCAUCGGGCCAAGAAGAACGGAUAUUGCGCCAAGGAUAUCGGAGUUGCGGAGUCAACUAGCCGAUUGGGCAAUAGGACGCAAGAGAGAACGAUGCGCCGAAGAAUCGGACGAAGCGUCGAGGGACCAAUGACAUGCCGAACAACUUGAUUAAUGCUUAGUAUUAAUUGUCUAGAUCGAAGUAUGUUUUACAUGUGCAGGAUUAACUACGAUAGCAAGGCAUGAAACAAAAUGAAGUCUCGAAGUCAAGAACGCGAUUACGUUGGGAGUUCGAGAGUUCGUCGGAAGUCUGGAUGUUCGUCGGAAGUUCUGGAGGAACGAGCCGAGAAGUCUAGGAGCUUGCCAGAGAAGCUCGUAGGAACUCGCCAAGAAGAUCGUUGUGAAGUCCAGGAGCUUGCCGGGAGUCCGUCGGAACAUUGCCGAGAGAUCGUCGGAAGUUCGCCGGAAGCUCGCCAGAAGAAUAGACAUAGGGACUCGUUUAGCUUAACAAACGUCUUAGGAUUUCGUAGUUAGCAUGUAAUUGGGCUUGGAUUUGGACCAACCCAAUUAGGGGCUACAAUCUUAUUAGAAAUUCCCUUCUACCAACUCUAAGUGUUAGAAUUCUGUUUAAGAGAGGAGAGUGAGUGCUUGUAAGGGUUAUCUCCUAAACCCGGUAAAAGGAGAAGAGAGGUGUAAAAGGUGAUUGGCCUUCGCCUAUUGAAGGAAGGCCUCUAAUGUACGCCGAUGAUCUCGUCGGAGGAGGAAGCCGAAAGUAGAUGUAGGUCACGUUCACCGAACCACUCUAAAACUUUGGUUUGCAUUUACUUAUUGCUAUUUACCUUACUUCAAACCUCUAUAUGUGCUUUACUUCCUCAUUACUUUUGCUGCACACCUUUACGAACACGCUUUCAAGUUAAGAUAUUUCCGAGAUCGGUUGAAACGAUUUUUAUCGUACGAAAGUUUUAAACCGACGUUAUUUUACCGCUGCACUAAUUCACCCCCCCUCUUAGUGCCGACCCUUGAUCCUAACACACUAGGGUACAGUUUUGGAUGGUCAUGAUGCACAUUAAUUGAAAAAUACAACACAGUGAUUUAAAACCCAAGUGAACUAAUUAUUUUAUUAUGAAGGUGAAAAAUCUAGUGCAAGAGGCUCUCACAAAUAUCUAUAUCACAAAGGAAGGAUCUUACCAUUGUGCUGAUGUCAAAAAAAUAGAAGAAA
rnacentral:lncRNA from 1 species